CCGGUCUGAACUCAGAUCACGUAAGAAGUAUUUGGGCGAACAGACCAUCUCUUAUAAAUUUUUCUUUAUAAUUUAUUCUUAAUCCAACAUCGAGGUCGUAAUUUAUUUUGUGAAUAAGGUCUUCUCAAAAAUUUUACGCUGUUAUCCCUUAGGUAAUUUAUUUUAUUUCAUAUUUGGAUAAUUUAACUUGAUCUUCAUCAUUCUGAUUUAUUUAAAGAUAUAUUUAUUUAAAAAUCUCCCCAAUUUAACAACUAGGGUCAUUUUAGUUGAUCAAGGUUGUAAGAUUCUAAAGGGUCUUCUUGUCUUUUGAUAUUAUUUAAGAUUUUUCACUUAAAUAUUAAUUUUUACUACUUUAUCUUAAAAAGUGUGUUUCACAUGUUUUCUUUCAUUCAAGCUUUCAAUUAUAAAGCAAUUUAUUAUGCUACCUUAGUACAGUUAAUUUACUGCAGCUAUUUAAUCUCUUCAUUGAGCAGAACUUAUCUAAAAUUUUUUUCUUUAAACUAUGUUUUUGUUAAACAGGCG
rnacentral:rRNA from 1 species